rnacentral:rRNA from 1 species
UACGAAGGUGGCAAGCGUUGUUCGGAUUUACUGGGCGUACAGGGAGCGUAGGCGGUUGGAUAAGCCCUCCGUGAAAUCUCCAGGCUUAACCUGGAAAGUGCAGAGGGGACUGUUCAGCUCGAGGAUGGGAGAGGAGCGCGGAAUUCCCGGUGUAGCGGUGAAAUGCGUAGAGAUCGGGAGGAACACCUGCGGUGUAGACAGCUUUCUGGACCACUUCUGACGCUGAGACACGAAAGCGUGGGUAGCAAACAGG